GACGAACGCUGGCGGCGUGCUUAACACAUGCAAGUCGAACGGAAAGGCCCUGCUUUUGUGGGGUGCUCGAGUGGCGAACGGGUGAGUAACACGUGAGUAACCUGCCCUUGACUUUGGGGUAACUUCAGGAAACUGGGGCUAAUACCGGAUAGGAGCUCCUGCUGCAUGGUGGGGGUUGGAAAGUUUCGGCGGUUGGGGAUGGACUCGCGGCUUAUCAGCUUGUUGGUGGGGUAGUGGCUUACCAAGGCUUUGACGGGUAGCCGGCCUGAGAGGGUGACCGGCCACAUUGGGACUGAGAUACGGCCCAGACUCCUACGGGAGGCAGCAGUGGGGAAUAUUGCACAAUGGGCGGAAGCCUGAUGCAGCAACGCCGCGUGCGGGAUGACGGCCUUCGGGUUGUAAACCGCUUUCGCAUGUGACGAAGCGUGAGUGACGGUAAUGGGUAAAGAAGCACCGGCUAACUACGUG
rnacentral:rRNA from 1 species